AAAAGACGUGCCAGCCGUUGGGAACUGACAGUUCGUGAUGAAACGUGACAAUAUCAAGAUAACUAUAACGAUAACGGAAUCGGAUUUCCCGGUCGUAACUGUGACUUAGACCUACAUAAUAAAUACAUUAAGACAUAAAGGUGCAGUUACUCGAAGAAGCCAGAAGGAAGCAUCUGCUGAGUGUUUGAUAAAACUUUCUCGGGCAGACGGGGUGAUGACAGCGAGACAAUAUUACAUAAAUUUGAGGUUUGCAGUAAGCGCAUUAUAAUAAUGUCAGAUGUCAGUGGCGGACCAUUAGAGAAAGUUAUUUUUGCUGACUGGCCAAGACACUGGGACAUGAUGUUAAGACCGGGACGAAUGACAAGCCUACCUAUCAAUAAAAAUAAAAGCGCAAGACGAAGAUGAUAU